rnacentral:ribozyme from 13 species
AAAAAGAAGGAGAAGAAUAAAAAGAAGAAAGAUCCGAAUCAGUGAGAGGGAGAAGAGUUCCUUCAUUGACAAGCAUUGUUGAUCUUUGUACAGAUGUUCUCUCUUUUAAAACUCUUUCUCUUUCUCUUCUUGGUUUCUCUUUUCUUUCU